GAUGAACGCUGGCGGCGUGCUUAACACAUGCAAGUCGAACGGAAAGGCCCAAGCUUGCUUGGGUACUCGAGUGGCGAACGGGUGAGUAACACGUGGGUGAUCUGCCCUGCACUUCGGGAUAAGCCUGGGAAACUGGGUCUAAUACCGGAUAGGACCACAUUUUGGAUGGUGUGGUGGAAAGUUUUUCGGUGUGGGAUGAGCUCGCGGCCUAUCAGCUUGUUGGUGGGGUAAUGGCCUACCGAGGCGUCGACGGGUAGCCGGCCUGAGAGGGUGUACGGCCACAUUGGGACUGAGAUACGGCCCAGACUCCUACGGGAGGCAGCAGUGGGGAAUAUUGCACAAUGGGCGCAAGCCUGAUGCAGCGACGCCGCGUGGGGGAUGACGGCCUUCGGGUUGUAAACUCCUUUCGCUAGGGACGAAGCGCAAGUGACGGUACCUGGAGAAGAAGCACCGGCUAACUACGUG
rnacentral:rRNA from 1 species